rnacentral:misc_RNA from 1 species
UUUCCGUAGGUGAACCUGCGGAAGGAUCAUUAUCGAAUUUGGGGAGGGAAGAUGGAAGGGUGAAGACUGUCGCUGGCUAGAUUAGCAUGUGCACGUCUCUUGCCUUUUCGUCUACCCUUUCUCUUUCUCUCACACCUGUGCACCUGUUGUAGGCCCUCGAAAGAGGAUCUAUGUUUUUUUUCACACAUCACACCUGAUUUGCAUGGCCAUAGAAUGUGUCAUAAUGAAAUAAAUACAACUUUCAGCAACGGAUCUCUUGGCUCUCGCAUCGAUGAAGAACGCAGC